UACGUAGGGGGCGAGCGUUGUCCGGAUUUAUUGGGCGUAAAGGGCGCGUAGGCGGCGCACCAAGUCAGGCGUGAAAGCCCUGGGCUCAACCCGGGAAUUGCGCUUGAGACUGGUGUGCUCGAGUACGGGAGAGGAUAGUGGAAUUCCCAGUGUAGAGGUGAAAUUCGUAGAUAUUGGGAAGAACACCGGUGGCGAAGGCGGCUAUCUGGACCGUAACUGACGCUGAGGCGCGAAAGCGUGGGGAGCAAACAGG
rnacentral:rRNA from 1 species